AUUUAUUCAUUGGAACAUAUGGCUCAAUGAAUUAUUCUACAUGAUAAAUCUCCACUGAGUCAGCGUGCUAACCAUUCAGGCCCCAAACCUUCUGACAGUGGCAAAACCUCCUGCCAAGUGGUGUUAUUCAGAAGAACAGAGGGUAAGAGAAAAUAAAUUGCAUGCAGCAUUGGUUAUUUGAGAGUGCUCCUGUGAUCUGUAUAAGGCGAGGGGAGACGAUGUGCUUCACUUCAUCUGAGACUUCUUCGUAGGGGUGGAGGGGCAUUUAACUUUUUUUUUUUUCCUAAUCAGUGAUUGCUUGGAAAGCACAUAGUGUUUAGUAGGCAGACUCUAGUUUCCAGACAUAUCUCAAUCUGUUUCCAUCUAUCUGGAUUUGGAGCAAUCUGGACCUCUUCCAACAUUCUCUUGGCUCUGUGGCCCAUUUAUCCUGAGCUGUGUUAAUGAACAAGAUGUGCUGAUUUACACAAGAGACUCACUUCUUCACUGAGGAGGUUCUUACGGCUGACUCGCUAUACCUGACCAUGAAGAUGAUGCUCUCUACUGAAUUACAUCAGCACAAGGAAUUUACAGAAACUGGAUGUGGCUAUGAGAAAAAACAAAGCAGACACAGUUUUGCUGGGACAACAGUGGUCGUCAGGUAGUUUUCCUGGAGUCAACAAUAUCAGAUAUUUCUAACCCUUUCUUGAGAUAGGCCUAAAUCCUGAUGUGUUGAGAACAAUCAGUUAUCAGGAGCCUCAUGAAGAUGAAGAGUAUUGAAUAAUAUCAAAAAGGAGACAUUUGGUUUCCAUUUGAUCUGUACUUUGCCAACUCUGAUCAAAAGUAAAAUAAAAAAAAAAAUUAAUGAAAGUAAAUCCAUCUUUGAACAAUCCCCAAAUAGGCCCGUUGCACUGAAGGGCACCUUCAUUAAAGAAAGAUUUGCAGACUUCUUAAAAACACAUAUAUUUGCAUCUAUUUAGUUUAUACAUGAAGAAAUCACAUGUGGGGAAAAUAUUUAAA
rnacentral:lncRNA from 1 species